rnacentral:rRNA from 1 species
GUAGGUGGCAAUCGUUGUCCGGAAUUAUUGGGCGUAAAGCGCGCGCAGGCGGUUCUUUAAGUCUGAUGUGAAAGCCCACGGCUCAACCGUGGAGGGUCAUUGGAAACUGGAGAACUUGAGUACAGAAGAGGAAAGCGGAAUUCCACGUGUAGCGGUGAAAUGCGUAGAGAUGUGGAGGAACACCAGUGGCGAAGGCGGCUUUCUGGUCUGUAACUGACGCUGAGGCGCGAAAGCGUGGGGAGCAAACAGGGAUUAGAUACCCUGGUAGUCCACGCCGUAAACGAUGAGUGCUAAGUGUUAGGGGGUUUCCGCCCCCUUAGUGCUGCAGCUAACGCAUUAAGCACUCCGCCUGGGGAGUACGGCCGCAAGGCUG